GACGAACGCUGGCGGCGUGCCUAAUACAUGCAAGUCGAACGCAGUGGGGACGGGAGAGUAACACGUGGGUAACCUCCCAUCAGAGGGGAGAACACUUGGAAACAGGUGCUAAACCGAUAUUGGUGGAUGGACCCGGGGGGGAUUAGCUAGUGGGUGAGGAAACGGCGCACCAAGGCCACGAUGCCUAGCCGACCUGAGAGGGUGAGCGGCCACACUGGGACUGAGACACGGCCCAGACUCCUACGGGAGGCAGCAGUAGGGAAUCUUCGGCAAUGGACGAAAGUCUGACCGAGCAACGCCGCGUGCGUGAAGAAGGUUUUCGGAGAGUAAACCUCUGUUGGUAGAGAAGCGGUAUCUAACCAGAAAGCCACGGCUAACUACGUGCCAGCAGCCGCGGUAAUAC
rnacentral:rRNA from 1 species